rnacentral:rRNA from 1 species
AGCGAACGUUUGCGGCGGGCUUAACACAUGCAAGUCGAACGAGAAUCCCUUCGGGGAGGAAAGUGGCGCACGGGUGCGUAACACGUGGAUAACCAACCCAUUGGUUUGGGACAACACCGGGAAACUGGUGCUAAUACCAGAUGUGUCGCAGCUGUCUUCAGGCGGUUGCGAGAAAGGCCCGCAAGGGUCGCCAACGGACGGGUCCGCGUCCCAUCAGCUAGUUGGUGAGGUAAUGGCUCACCAAGGCAAAGACGGGUAGCUGGUCUGAGAGGAUGAUCAGCCACACUGGGACUGAGACACGGCCCAGACCU